GACGAACGCUGGCGGCGUGCCUAACACAUGCAAGUCGGACGCAGUCGCGAACGGGUGAGCAACGCCCAGGAACCUACUUAUUAGUGGGGGCUAACUAUUGGAAACGAUAGCUAAUACCGCAUACUAGUAGAUGGACUUGCGUUGUAUUAGCUAGUAGGUAGGGUAAUGGCCUACCGAGGCAACGAUACAUAGGCGACCGGGGAGGGGGGUAAGCCACACUGGAACUGAGACACGGACCAGACUCCUACGGGAGGCAGCAGUGGGGAAUGGUGGACAAUGGGCGAAAGCCUGAUCCAGCCAUGCCGCGUGUGUGAAGAAGGUCUUCGGAUUGUAAAGCACUUUAAGUUGGGAGGCGUUACCAGCAGAAUAAGCACCGGCUAACUACGUGCCAGCAGCCGCGGUAAUAC
rnacentral:rRNA from 1 species